rnacentral:rRNA from 1 species
AUACGUAGGGGGCUAGCGUUAUCCGGAAUUACUGGGCGUAAAGGGUGCGUAGGUGGCCUGACAAGUCAGGGGUCAAAGGCAACGGCUCAACCGUUGUAAGCCCUUGAAACUGGGAAACUUGAGUGCAGGAGAGGAAAGUGGAAUUCCUAGUGUAGCGGUGAAAUGCGUAGAUAUUAGGAGGAACACCAGUGGCGAAGGCGGCUUUCUGGACGGUAACUGACGCUGAGGCGCGAAAGCGUGGGGAGC